rnacentral:rRNA from 1 species
GACGAACGCUGGCGGCGUGCUUAACACAUGCAAGUCGAACGGAAAGGCCCUGCUUUUGUGGGGUGCUCGAGUGGCGAACGGGUGAGUAACACGUGAGUAACCUGCCCUUGACUUUGGGAUAACUUCAGGAAACUGGGGCUAAUACCGGAUAGGAGCUCCUGCUGCAUGGUGGGGGUUGGAAAGUUUCGGCGGUUGGGGAUGGACUCGCGGCUUAUCAGCUUGUUGGUGGGGUAGUGGCUUACCAAGGCUUUGACGGGUAGCCGGCCUGAGAGGGUGACCGGCCACAUUGGGACUGAGAUACGGCCCAGACUCCUACGGGAGGCAGCAGUGGGGAAUAUUGCACAAAGGGCGGAAGCCUGAAGCAGCAACGCCGCGUGCGGGAUGACGGCCUUCGGGUUGUAAACCGCUUUCGCCUGUGACGAAGCGUGAGUGACGGUAAUGGGGAAAGAAGCACCGGCUAACUACGU